UACGUAGGGGGCAAGCGUUGUCCGGAAUUAUUGGGCGUAAAGAGCGCGUAGGCGGUCCGGUAAGUCGGUUGUGAAAGUCGGGGGCUCAACCCUCGGAUGCCGAUCGAUACUGUCGGGCUAGAGUCCGGAAGAGGCGAGUGGAAUUCCUGGUGUAGCGGUGAAAUGCGCAGAUAUCAGGAGGAACACCAAUGGCGAAGGCAGCUCGCUGGGACGGUACUGACGCUCAGGUGCGAAAGCGUGGGGAGCAAACAGG
rnacentral:rRNA from 1 species